rnacentral:sRNA from 1 species
GAGAUAGACAAUCAUUACUUUGCCCACUUGCCCUUGAGCACGGCGAAGCACAGUUCAAUUUUGAGGGGUCCCGAAAGGGCCUGUCAUCACCGUGACUCGCAGAUUGGAUAUUGUGGCGUUCAGCGUUUCUUUAUUCCAACCUGCAACAUCAACGGUUUUGGGGCCAAUCAAUUACCAGCUGCGCUCGGACAUGCAGGAGAUCAGCAAUCUGAUACUGAGCCUGUUCUAUCCAUCUGACAUGUUCCAUUUCAACUUCUUGCCAAUGGCAGAAGACUUGUAAAAUUGUCUAUUAGGGGUAGUAUGACUAAAAUGUCGAUUUUAUAACAACAUCAUCUCUGGGCGGGGGACUGAAUGGGGAUAGCAAUGGAUAAAGCAGCUUUGAUAAUGGGACUUUACGAUCUUCACAAGGAACA